rnacentral:lncRNA from 1 species
GUCCUGUGUACCUGAGAGCUCAGAAAAAGAGAGAAGAAAAUGUUUAGAUGGGUGGAGUGGGGAGUGCCGCGCGCCGAGGCUGGCAGUCCCCACGCAGUAUGGCAGGCGGGUGUUAUACAGUAUAUGCUGGUCUUGAAUUCACCAUGUAACUGAGGAUGACCCUAAACUUCUCAUCUUUCUGCGUUUACCUCCUCCGAAGUGCUGGAAUUACAAGCAUGUGCCACCAGGAUCAGUUUAUGCCAGUGCAAUGGAUUAAAUCCAGGACCCUGUGUUUCCUCUACUGAGCUAUACCCACAGCCAUGCAUUUUCAGUCAGGAAAAAAAAACAAAACAAAAACAGAAUUCCAGAAAUGAUGCAGGUGUUUGAGAAUGAUGGCGCCCUCCACUGGCCAACUUCAUGACCCAGUGACCUGAUUUGCUGGGCACUUACAGUCACAAGAGAUCAACCUGGGACAGUGCUCUAAGCUCACUGUCUAAUGCCAAUGAAGAUUACUGGUGUCGUGUCAUGUGGAGGUAGAAGCAGGCUUUAUUAAGAAUUAUUGCAUAAGGUUGGAGUGGUGGCUCAGCAAGAAUUAUACAUAGGAUUAGAGUAGUGGCUCAGAGGUUAAAAACAUUGGCUGCCCUUCCAGAGGUCCUGAGUUCAAUUCUCAGAAAUCACAUGGUGGCUCAGAACCAUCUAUAAUGAGAUCUGAUGCCCUCUUCUGGUGUAUCUGAAGACAGCUACAGUGUACAAACAUAAAUUAAAAUAAAUAAAUCUUUAAAGAUG